UUAAACUUAUACCGUUUACGGACCCAUAAAAUACGGGUCUUAAUUUAGUAAAGAUCCGUAUUUUAUGGGUCUGGAAAGCUAUGAUAUAUAUAAAAGAAAAAAGUAUAGAAAAGAUUAGUGUGGAAUAGGCUUAGAAAGACCUGUAUUUUUAUGGGGAGGGGGCAAAUACCCUAUCCCAAAAGGAAAUGUACACAGCACAGAUAAAUAGAUAGUAAAGAUGGCAGAGCACUGGUUAUACCAAGCAACAUGAGAUGUAAAGAUGGCGGAGCAGCUCCCACUCUGGUUAUACCAAGUUGCAUGAGGUUAUUUCAAUGACAAUUAUGAGAAUUCUCUUGAAGGUAAACUAAUUUUUUUUUAUUUUUAGAUAUGUUUUGAUGAUAUUUGAUAUUUAUAUUCAUAUAUAUGUCUAUACUCAUCUAUAUAUGAUUACUUUUUAAUUAAACAAUAUUUAUUGAUAUCAUUUUUAUAAUUUAAUCACAAAUUUAAAGUAGUAAGCGUAAAAAUAGAUUUAUGUAAACAAAACAUUUCGACCAAAAAAAAAUCAAAAAAAUAUCAAAAGACAUAUUUUAUUGUUUGUACAACUUGGAUGCUUGUAUAGAAUGAUUAAGAAAUUAUUAGAAAAGAAAUCAAUCAAAGUUUCAACAACCACCAUUAAUAGAGUUAAAAAUAACAUGGCCAGAUUUGAAAUAAAAGAUGAUUUAAAUGGCAAAAAAGCUGAAAGUUGACAUUAUUACGACAGAUGAAAAACUAUUCUACUUUGAUUGUGAUCAAAAAUCCAAACAUAUUCACGCAAAUAGAUAUCAAAAAGCACAGAGAGUACUCUAUUAUAAAAAGAAAAAUUUUCUAAAAUCAAUUAUAGUAUGGGUUACAGGGUUUAUUCAAUAAUAUAAAAGAUAUACGAAGAAACAUCCUUCAAAACUUAUAAAUUUGGCAUUGAUGUCCUGGUCUAAACUUUUUAAACUUAUCUAUAAUAACAAAGGUCAUCAAAUUGAACAUUUAAGAAAAAAAAAUUAUGAAUUAAAAAAAUAUUGCUUUUUUAAUAUGUUUCCAUUUCAA